AGGACGAACGCUGGCGGCGUGCUUAACACAUGCAAGUGGAGCGACGAACCGGGGCUUGCCCCGGGGCAGAGCCGCGAACGGGUGAGUAACACGUGGGUAACCCACCCCGAUGAUUGGGACAACCCGAGGAAACUCGGGCUAAUACCAAAUGUGCCCUUGGUCCACGAGGACCUCGAGUAAAGAUAGCUUCGGCCUUCGCAUCGGGACGGCCCGCGGCCCAUUAGCUUGUUGGUGAGGUAACGGCUCACCAAGGCAACGAUGGGGUAGCCGUGGUCUAGAGGAGGACGAUCACGCCUACACGUGGGACUGACGACGACCGGACCAGACCUCCGGACGGGAGCAGCGAGGUGGGAAUCGUGCG
rnacentral:rRNA from 1 species